rnacentral:rRNA from 1 species
CAUGUAGGCGGCUUAAUAAGUCGAGCGUGAAAAUGCGGGGCUCAACCCCGUAUGGCGCUGGAAACUGUUAGGCUUGAGUGCAGGAGAGGAAAGGGGAAUUCCCAGCGUAGCGGUGAAAUGCGUAGAUAUUGGGAGGAACACCAGUGGCGAAGGCGCCUUCUGGACUGUGUCUGACGCUUAGAUGCGAAAGCCAGGGUAGCGAACG